UUGUGUUGCAAUAUUUUCACGAAUGAAGUUUGUCAGAAUGGUAAAUACGUAAAAUAACGUUCGCUAACAACAAAACAUUUAUACAGAUAGUAUUGUUAGCUAACGUUAUUGUAUAGCUUCCCAGGCUUCCUUACGCUAACAUUAACUGUUUUUUAUAAAGCUAUAUAUAACGGUAAUGUUAGCAUGCUUCUGAUAGUUAGCCAGCUAAUGUUGGUGUUAUAAAACGAUAACUUAGAUCACUGAUUUGCAUGACGGGUUUGUUUAACAUUGCUUAACCAUUUUAAUGGUUAGCUACUGUUCGAACUAAAAUGGCUAAUGAGCUAGCUAACUUUGACACAUAGCUAGUUAUUUGGUAGCUAAUGGGACAAUGUGCCUCUAAACUUGAACUAGCCUACACCCAUUUGCUGCAGAAAAUGGCAGCUUAACGUUAUAUUCAACCAGCACAACUUUGUCUACUUCAGCCUUUGUAAUUGCAGUGUAACGUCUAAGUAAUGCAUAGUGCAUUGCGUAGCUAGUACUACUGAGAUAAAUGGAUAGUUAGCUAACGCUUAGUUGAACCAGCACUAAAUGAUGAUUUUGAAUAUAUAUUUUCUUUGUUAACAGAGGCAAAAUGCUGUUGCGUGUUCAGCUCGGGGAAGAGCAGAAAUACGUCAAGCUGUCUGAGCUGACAUUCAAUGCUUUCUUGAAAGAAGUGUGUCUAAAAUUCAACAUACCAGAAAGCAGAAAGCCAGACAUUAAGGUGUAUGACCAGUCUGACACAGAAGUUGACUCAGAUGUUUUUGAAGAAUUAGUAAAGGAGUCACCUGGAACUUUCAGAAUCAUGCUGGGCAAUGGACUUGAUACCUCUCAUUCAUCAUCAUGCUCGGGUACAUCUGAUGACACCAUCAUUCUGAAUUUCACUGUGUGUGACGAUGUUGAAGAAGUAGCGGCUGGCGAAGGAAGCCAGCCUAAAAGGCCAUGCCACAUAAACUAUGAGGCAAAAGCACUGAUUGAAAAAAUCCUAACAUCAAAGCCUGGUGGUGAACG